AUUUAGGUACCCAGACUGUUGCUCAAGUGCAACCGGUUCCGACCAUGAUUUGUGAGAUUUGUAGUGGACCACACUUUACCAUGCAUUGUGUUGCAACCGCAGAACAGGUGCAAGCAAUAAAUUACCUGAGGCAGAAUAAUCCCUACUCAAAUACUUAUAAUCCGGGGUGGAAAAAUCAUCCUAAUUUCUCUUGGAAAGAUCAGCAAGGUAAUAUUCAGAACCAAGGACCUCC
rnacentral:lncRNA from 1 species